UAUUCCUCUGUCUCGUUCAAAUCUCACCACUACAUUUCCACCUGCCCCUCACUCUCCGUUUUUGUCACAAAGUGAUCAGGAGAGACUUUUUUUGUGUGAUUUUGUACUGUAUUGUUUUAUUGCUUUCUUAAUUAUGUGUGUGUGUGUAUGAUUAACUUAAGUGUCCUCUCUCCUGAGUGGCUGAAAGACCUCCCCCUGCAGCAAACUGGCACACCUGCAGCAAAUAAAGAGCGGAUUGCUACACCUGUGCAUGAGAGGCAACUCUAGAGCCGGCUCAUGAAAGCACACAAUCACCGUGCCCAGAGCGCUACCAACUAACGGCAACAGCAACUCAGAACGCGCCAGGGUCGUAGCUGUGCCAUCGAUGUCUCACUUCACCUUGUCCCCUCUUCUCAGACAGCAACUAAGCUCCUGGAAAACAUCAUCUUGUGGGGUGUUCGCGGUGAUCAGCUAUGGUCCUCGGGAGAGGUGGUGAACUGACAGGGUCACAGGCAGUGACCAGCCAGUCGCCGCACAGGCUUUUUAACGCAACAUUAUUUAUACAAUAUAUCACCUUUCAAAACACAGUUACAAAGUGCUAUACAAUAAAAUAGA